rnacentral:rRNA from 1 species
AUACGUAGGUGGCAAGCGUUGUCCGGAUUUACUGGGUGUAAAGGGCGCGUAGGCGGGAUGGCAAGUCAGAUGUGAAAUCUCCGGGCUCAACCCGGAAACUGCAUUUGAAACUGUCGUUCUUGAGUAUCGGAGAGGCAAGCGGAAUUCCUGGUGUAGCGGUGAAAUGCGUAGAUAUUAGGAGGAACACCAGUGGCGAAGGCGGCUUGCUGGACGACAACUGACGCUGAGGCGCGAAAGUGUGGGGAGCAAACAGGAUUAGAUACCCUGGUAGUCCACACUGUAAACGAUGAAUGCUAGGUGUAAGAGGUAUCGACCCCUUUUGUGCCGGAGUCAACACAAUAAGCAUUCCGCCUGGGGAGUACGGCCGCAAGGUUGAAACUCAAAUGAAUUGACGGGG